GGAUUAGGCAUGCAAGUCGAACGGUAUGGUGCUUUCGGGCAUCAGAGAGUGGCGAACGGGUGAGUAACACGUAGGUGAUCUACCCUCAAGACGGGGACAACCCAGGGAAACUUGGGCUAAUACCGGAUGAUAGCAGCAGUGAUGUUGUUUAAAAGAUGGCUUUCGGGCUGUCGUUUGGGGAUGAGCCUGCGUCCUAUUAGUUAGUUGGUGGGGUAAUGGCCUACCAAGGCGAUGAUAGAUAGGCGGCCUUAACGGGUGGUCGCCCACACUGGGAUUGAGAUACGGCCCAGACUCCUACGGGAGGCAGCAGUCGAGAAUAGUCUACAAUGGACGAAAGUCUGAUAGUGCGACGCCGCGUGAACGAAGAAUCCCUUCGGGGUGUAAAGUUCUUUUAUAUGUGAGCAAUGCUUUUUAUGUGAAUAGCAUGAGAAGAGAGAUAUUAGCAUAUGAAUAAGCAACGGCUAACUCCGUGCCAGCAGCCGCGGUAAUA
rnacentral:rRNA from 1 species